rnacentral:rRNA from 1 species
UAACGAAUCUUCCGCAAUGGGCGAAAGCCUGACGGAGCAAUGCCGCGUGUGGGAUGAAGCGCCUUCGGCGUGUAAACCACUGUCAGGGAAUGGAACCAAUGAUUAUUCCCAAAGGAAGUGGCGACUAACUCUGUGCCAGCAGUCGCGGUAAUACAGAGGCCACAAGCGUUAGUCGGAAUCACUGGGCUUAAAGGGUGCGUAGGCGGGCCCGCAAGCGCUUUGUGAAAUCCCCCGGCUCAACCGGGGAACUGCAGGGCGAACUGCGGAUCUUGAGGAAACUAGAGGCCGGUAGAACGAUUGGUGGAGCGGUGGAAUGCGUAGAUAUCAAUCGGAAUGCCAAAAGUGAAGACAGCCGGCUGGGGUUUUCCUGACGCUGAGGCACGAAAGCGUGGGGAGCAAACCGGAUUAGAUACCCAAGUAGUCCCUGAGCGGGCUGGCAAGGCGCAU